rnacentral:lncRNA from 1 species
AGGCAUGCCUAGCUGAAAGCCGAUGCACCGAGGCCUGCUCCAUGCUAAGGCUGUAAUUCUUCACCCCAAGAAUCUUCAUUCUGGUCUUCAAGUAUUCAAGGCUUAUCCAAAGUUGCAUCAUCCAUCAUUAUUCUCGGGCAUAUUAAAGCCGUGACUUUGCUUGCCCUCAGGAAAUUAAACAUCUGUCAGUCACCAGGAGUCACAAUCCACAGAAGACAGUGAGUAGGAGGAUGCCACAGAACCCAUCGUGUUUCCUGCCGUAUUAAAGCAGGGCUGUGCUGUCAUCAGCCUGCGAUGUGCCAUUUAUUAUGCAGCACCCCAUCAUCUGGCUUCUGUCUCAACCAACAUACUGAAACUGCUUCAUAAAGUCAUCAGUGUAUUUUUAAUUGCCAAGUUGAUUGGACAUUUCACAGCCAUUAUUCCUGACUUUUAUAAGCAUUUGACAUGACUGAUCAUUCAUUUCUUGAAAUUCUGUUUUUUCCAGACGGCCGUGAUAAACACUCUGAACAUUGUU